rnacentral:rRNA from 1 species
CGGAAACGAUGGAAGCUUGCUUCCAGGCGUCGAGCGGCGGACGGGUGAGUAAUGCAUAGGAAUCUGCCCGAUAGUGGGGGAUAACCUGGGGAAACUCAGGCUAAUACCGCAUACGUCCUACGGGAGAAAGCAGGGGAUCUUCGGACCUUGCGCUAUCGGAUGAGCCUAUGUCGGAUUAGCUAGUUGGUGAGGUAACGGCUCACCAAGGCGACGAUCCGUAGCUGGUCUGAGAGGAUGAUCAGCCACACUGGGACUGAGACACGGCCCAGACUCCUACGGGAGGCAGCAGUGGGGAAUAUUGGACAAUGGGGGAAACCCUGAUCCAGCCAUGCCGCGUGUGUGAAGAAGGCCUUCGGGUUGUAAAGCACUUUCAGCGAGGAAGAAGGCCUGAGGGCUAAUACCCUUCAGGAAGGACAUCACUCGCAGAAGAAGCACCGGCUAACUCCGUGCCAGCAGCCGCGGUAAUACGGAGGGUGCGAGCGUUAAUCGGAAUUACUGGGCGUAAAGCGCGCGUAGGUGGCUUGAUAAGCCGGUUGUGAAAGCCCCGGGCUCAACCUGGGAACGGCAUCCGGAACUGUCAGGCUAGAGUGCAGGAGAGGAAGGUAGAAUUCCCGGUGUAGCGGUGAAAUGCGUAGAGAUCGGGAGGAAUACCAGUGGCGAAGGCGGCCUUCUGGACUGACACUGACACUGAGGUGCGAAAGCGUGGGUAGCAAACAGGAUUAGAUACCCUGGUAGUCCACGCCGUAAACGAUGUCGACUAGCCGUUGGGUUCCUUGAGAACUUUGUGGCGCAGUUAACGCGAUAAGUCGACCGCCUGGGGAGUACGGCCGCAAGGUUAAAACUCAAAUGAAUUGACGGGGGCCCGCACAAGCGGUGGAGCAUGUGGUUUAAUUCGAUGCAACGCGAAGAACCUUACCUACCCUUGACAUCGUGCGAACUUUCCAGAGAUGGAUUGGUGCCUUCGGGAACGCACAGACAGGUGCUGCAUGGCUGUCGUCAGCUCGUGUUGUGAAAUGUUGGGUUAAGUCCCGUAACGAGCGCAACCCUUGUCCCUAUUUGCCAGCGAUUCGGUCGGGAACUCUAGGGAGACUGCCGGUGACAAACCGGAGGAAGGUGGGGACGACGUCAAGUCAUCAUGGCCCUUACGGGUAGGGCUACACACGUGCUACAAUGGUCGGUACAAAGGGUUGCGAUACCGCGAGGUGGAGCUAAUCCCAUAAAGCCGG